GCCAGCCAGUGUGGCAUGUGCCUGUAGUCCCCGCUGCUUGGGAGGCUGAGGUGGGAAGGAUUACUUGAGCCCAGGAGUUCUGCACUGUAGGGCACGGUGCCCAUCGGGUGACACCCAUCACGUGUCCGCACUAAGUUCAGCAUCAAGAGCCGGGGACCACUAGGCUGCCUAAGAAGGAAUGAACCAGCCUGCUUGGGAAACAGAGCAGCUGAAACUCCUGUGCCAAUCAGUGGUGGGAUCACACCUGUGAAUAGCCACGCCUGCCUGGGGAACACAAACCCUGUCUCU
ensembl:misc_RNA Metazoa_SRP Metazoan signal recognition particle RNA